CGCCUCCUGCAAUAUAAAGUAUAGGAGGUCCAGCCUGCCCAGUGACUACGGGUUCAACGGCCGCGGUAUAUUGACCGUGCAAAGGUAGCGCAAUCACUUGUCUUUUAAAUAGAGACCUGUAUGAAUGGGUAGACGAGGGCUUAACUGUCUCCCCCUUCCAGUCAGUGAAAUUGAUCUAUCCGUGCAGAAGCGGGUAUAAUACUACAAGACRAGAAGACCCUUUGGAGCUUAAGGUACAAGAUUCAGCCAUGUUAAGCAACUCCAUAGAAAGCAAGAACUUUAUGGCCAUGAAACUUUACCUUCGGUUGGGGCGACCACGGAGGAAAAGCAAGCCUCCGAGUGGACUGGGCCAAACCCCUAAAGCUAAAAGAGACAUCUUUAAGCCGCAGAACAUCUGACCAACAAUGAUCCGACCAAGAGAUCGAUCAACGGACCAAGUUACCCUAGGGAUAACAGCGCAAUCCUCUCCCAGAGCCCAUAUCGACGAGGGGGUUUACGACCUCGAUGUUGGAUCAGGACAUCCUGAUGGUGCAGCCGCUAUUAAGGGUUCGUUUGUUCAACGAUUAAAGUCCU
rnacentral:rRNA from 1 species